GAUGAACGCUAGCGGGAGGCUUAAUACAUGCAAGUCGAGCGGCAAGUUUUGAUAGCAAUAUUGGAACCUAGAGCGGCGCACGGGUGAGUAACGCGUACAUGACCUGCCCUAUACUGGGGGAUAGUCUUGGGAAACUGAGAAUAAAUCCCGCAUGUGAUUAGAAUGCUGCAUGGCAAAUUAAUUAAAGCUGAGGCGGUAUAGGAUGGGUGUGCGUCUGAUUAGCUAGUUGGUAGUGUAACGGACUACCAAGGCGAUGAUCAGUAGGGGGCGUGAGAGCGUGACCCCCCACACGGGUACUGAGACACGGACCCGACUCCUACGGGAGGCAGCAGUAAGGAAUAUUGGUCAAAUGGAGGGAACUCUGAACCAGCCAUCCCGCGUGAAGGAUGAAGGGGCUCUGCCUUGUAAACUUCUUUUGCAUGGGAACGAAAAACUUAAUUUAUUAAGGACUGACGGUACCAUGAGAAUAAGCACCGGCUAACUCCGUGCCAGCAGCCGAC
rnacentral:rRNA from 1 species